CCUACGGGUGGCAGCAGUGGGGAAUAUUGCACAAUGGGGGAAACCCUGAUGCAGCGACGCCGCGUGAGUGAGGAAGUAUUUCGGUAUGUAAAGCUCUAUCAGCAGGGAAGAAAAUGACGGUACCUGACUAAGAAGCCCCGGCUAACUACGUGCCAGCAGCCGCGGUAAUACGUAGGGGGCAAGCGUUAUCCGGAUUUACUGGGUGUAAAGGGAGCGUAGACGGAUAAGCAAGUCUGAUGUGAAAAUCCGGGGCCCAACCCCGGAAUUGCAUUGGAAACUGCAUAUCUAGAGUGUCGGAGAGGCAAGUGGAAUUCCUGGUGUAGCGGUGAAAUGCGUAGAUAUCAGGAGGAACACCAGUGGCGAAGGCGGCUUGCUGGACGAUGACUGACGUUGAGGCUCGAAAGCGUGGGGAGCAAACAGGAUUAGAUACCCUGGUAG
rnacentral:rRNA from 1 species